rnacentral:lncRNA from 1 species
CGCCUUUCAUUGGCUCCUGCCGCCCUCGCGACUUUAGACCGAGCUCCGAUUGGCCGAGCUCAAAAAAGCCGACUUUGAGCUACGGUAUUCAAAUACGUGCCCCGUUGACUGCUAUGGCCAACUUGGAGCUUGGCUGACUGCUGUGUAUAGAGGGCAAGCUUGGCUUAGAUGAUCUUUGACAUCCCUGUCAAUUCUCAAUCCCUGAUUAUCCAGUGGAACAACAGAAUGACAACUGCUGAGAUGGCUUGACCGGUAUAGGAAGGAGAAUGAAGAAAUUUAGAAUUGGAGAUAAUGUAAAAACAAAAAAUAUCAAUAAAAAAUUUGAAAU